rnacentral:rRNA from 1 species
AUUGAACGCUGGCGGCAGGCCUAACACAUGCAAGUCGAGCGAGUGGCGGGCGUGUGAGUAAUGUCUGGGACUCUGCCUGAUGGAGGGGGAUAAAUACUAGACACGGUAUCUAAUACCGCAUACCCUCAUAUGUCCCCAGAUGGGAUUAGCGUGUGGGUGGGGUAACGGCUCCCCUGGGCGACGAUCCCUAGCGGGUCUGAGAGGAUGACCAGCCAACCUGGAACUGAGACACGGUCCAGACUCCUACGGGAGGCAGCAGUGGGGAAUAUUGCACAAUGGGCGCAAGCCUGAUGCAGCCAUGCCGCGUGUAUGAAGAAGGCCUUCGGGUUGGAAAGUACUUUCAGCGGGGAGGCGUUACCCGCAGAAGAAGCACCGGCUAACUCCGUGCCAGCAGCCGCGGUAAUUC